ACGUAUCUGAGUAGACUUGCAUUUUUGUUUCUCUCAAGGAAAGACGAACACUGGGCUUGCUAGGCUGUAGGUAUUGUGUGGACAGAUACACUGCUGCUUGAAUGUGGAGGUCAGAGAAUAACUUGAAGGAGUCAACUCUAUCUUUACCAUGUGGACGCAGGGGACUGAACUCUGGUCAUCCGUCUUGGUGGUGAGUCUGCACGCAAGUGUACACAGGUGUUCACACAGAGGCAUAGAUGUGGAGGUCAGAGGCAACAUGCGGGAGCGGUUCUGUCCUUCAGCCAUGUGGGUCCCAGGGAUAAAACUCAGAUGGUGAGGCUAUGGCCUGGCAGUGGCUUCUGGGUGUGCUGAUUCACUGAGAGCAUCAAGGAGCAGUGACAGUCGUGGAGGAGGAGAAGAAAAAGAAAGGGAGGAAGUGGUGGGGGGAGGGAGAGACAACAGUGACUGCUCUGGCCUGCUUCUGAAAUGAAGGCAUAGUUUUGUUUUAUAGUCUGCUUAAAGAAAUUUCAGAAAGAACUCCAGAAUAAAUGUAAGUGCACACACACACUGAGCAACCAAGGAGCAUUUUCUCAGACUGUGUUUCCUGAGGAAAAUUUGAAAUUUUUUGCUUCUGGCCAGACUGGCCUCUAUCCCUGCCCAUCUAACUUUGCCAAAGCUUUGAUCCUAAAGAAACACCUCUGUAUUUCAAGUCCAAACCCACAAUAGCAGACCCUGAGGUAGAUGGAUUUCACAUUUGUGAUAUUCCUAGUUCGCACGGACUUUCCCAAACCACACUCUCUGGGCAUGAGGUGCACACCUCACGUCUACCCCCAUCUUCCAACUUUGGCCAAAAUUUCCAUCACACACACCAUACGCUAUCUUCUUUUCCCCUUCAGUCAAACUUCCUGUCUAUUAACCGUGCUGCAAGAGUUUCUAAGAUUUCAACUCUUUCCUGUAAGUAUUUCCCUCUGAAAUCAGAACCAAGAUAGAAUUAUCUUCCAUACUUGGAAUUUGAAGAUGAAGCCCCCACCUGCACUCAUACCCCAAAUGACAACUCCAACACACUGGGUUCAGGUGUUGCCUCAAACAGUUUUGAAAGAACUUUGCAUUUCUUGGUGUGAAAUUGUCUACUUAUUUUCUAAAGAGCAAAAGCAGGUUAGGCAGAAAGAUCCAUGCCUGACACCCCACAGUGGUAUGCAAGAGGCAGGACAUGGGAGAACCUGCUGAUUCUCCAAGAAUGAUUGAUGGACCCUGCACCCAGAGCUUCCUUGCUGUGUGGACUUCAAAUAAAAUCUGGCUUCUACGGUAUUUUAGUGGUUACUCCCUUUAUGACCAUGGAUUUCUUUUUGUUCUUGGUCUGAGAUGGAUGUUAAAAUAGUUUGAAAAUACUUCUUCUAUUCUAAUACUUAGCCCUUCCAUUCAGAUAUGUUUUCCCUCCCCCACACACGAACAAGACAUACAUCGUGAACAGAGCCUGGAGGGAAGGGACCUUUCUGCUUUCAUCUGACCUGAGAUGCAUUUGCUGUCAUUUAUGAUCCACAACAACCUUGCCUGACUGUAAUUUACUCUCUGUAAGACUAAGUUCUGAAUGUAUGUCCUCAGCUUGUACUCGCAAGCUGAGCUGAGGACACAGUCCACAUAUUGUUUCUGCCCCUUUUCCCCGAAGUGUAUUCAAUUUAAACAUGAAA